rnacentral:tRNA from 1 species
GCGCCCGUAGCUCAGUUGGAUAGAGCGUUAGCCUCCGGAGCUAAAGGUCGCAGGUUCGAAUCCUGCCGGGCGCGCCA